rnacentral:rRNA from 1 species
UACGGGGGGGCAAGCGUUGUUCGGAAUUACUGGGCGUAAAGGGCUCGUAGGUGGCCAACUAAGUCAGACGUGAAAUCCCUCGGCUUAACCGGGGAACUGCGUCUGAUACUGGAUGGCUUGAGUUUGGGAGAGGGACGCGGAAUUCCAGGUGUAGCGGUGGAAUGCGUAGAUAUCUGGAGGAACACCGGUGGCGAAGGCGGCGUCCUGGACCGGCAUUGACGCUGAUGAGCGAAAGCCAGGGGAGCAAACGGG